UUAUUUGGAGUCAAUACAUUCUGUUAUAAUUUUUGCUAAAAAUAUGUUUUUCUGUUAUUUUUCCUUCUAACAUACAAACAUAUAAAUAUGCAUUCAUGGAUCAUUUCUCAUAAUUGAAAAAAAUAACAUAUAAAGAAUUUUUCUCUUUAUCUUCAAUCUUCUUCUAUGCAUACAUAUAAUAAUUACACAUAAUCAUUCUUGUUUGGUGCCAUCUAUAUU
rnacentral:lncRNA from 1 species